rnacentral:rRNA from 1 species
AUUUCCGAAUGGGGCAACCCGGCCGUAAGGCCGCUGCCGGCUGAAUGCAUAGGCCGGUAUGCGUGAACGUGGGGAACUGAAACAUCUCAGUACUCACUGGAAAGGAAAGCAAUAGCGACUCCGUCAGUAGCGGCGAGCGAACGCGGAUGAACGAGAAGUGCGAACGAACGCUCUGGAAUGAGCGGCCGAAGAAGGUGAAAGCCCUGUAAUCGCGACCUCGGGAUGGUCUUGAGUAGAUUCGGGCUCGUGAAACCCGGAUUGAAAAUGGGGGGUCCACCCUCCAAACCUAAGCACUCCUUGACGACCGAUAGUGAACCAGUAAGGCGACUGAAAGAUGAAAACAACCCGAACUCGGGUGUGAAAGAGAGCUGAAACCGUGUGCUUACAAGCGGUCGGAGCCACGCAAGUGGUGACGGCGUACCUUUUGCAUAAUGGGCCUGCGAGUUGGUCUGUACGGCGAGCCUAAGCGCUAACGGCGCGGAGGCGGAGCGAAAGCGAGUCUGAAAAGGGCGACAAGUCGUACGGGCUAGACGCGAAACCUAAGUGAUCUACCGUUGGCCAGAGUGAAGGGCGGGUAAAACCGCCUGGAGGCUUGAACGCGUGAACGUUGAAAAGUUCUGCGAUGAGCUGACGGGAGGACUAAAAGUGUAAUCAAACUGGGAGAUAGCUCGUUCUUUCCGAAAUACCUUUAGGGGUAGCCUCGUGCAAUGCUGUUGGGGGUAGAGCGACUGGAUGGAUUUAGGGGCCUACCCGGUCACCUGGUCCAACCAAACUCCGAAUACCAGCAGUUCAGCACGGGAGAAAGACGUUGAGUGACAAUAUCCAACGUCAAGAGGAGAAAAAUCCAGACCACCGGCUAAGGCCCCGAAACUACGUUAAGUUCUAAAGGAAGUCAGAGUGCUGUGACAUCCAGGAUGUUGGCUUAGAAGCAGCCAUCAUUUAAAGAGUGCGUAACAGCUCACUGGACGAGGAUUCUGGCGCCGAUAAUUAUCGGGAAUAAGCGUAGUGCCGAAGCCGUGGACUCUAUUAUGAGUGGUAGGAAAGCGUAGCUGGGGCGGUGAAGCGGGACCGGAAGGCACCGUGGAGCGUCAGCUAGUGAGCAUGCAGGCUUGAGUAACGAUAAAGCAGGUGAAAAUCCUGCUCGCCGUAAGCCCAAGGAUUCCUGGGGAAGGUAAAUCCGCCCAGGGUUAGUCUGGACCUAAGACGAGGCUGAACAGCGUAGUCGAUGGAAAUCAGGUGAAUAUUCCUGAACCAACCCUUGUAUAAACGGAUCUGUGGACUCAGCGGGACUGUCAGAUGUCCAGGCCGUAAGGCCGAUGCUGGGAAAGUGGGUUCCUAGAAAAGCAAGGAUGCCAGUACCAAAACUGACACAGGUGGGCGAGGCGAAUAGCCUCAGGCGCUCGAGAGAACGGUCGUGAAGGAACUAGGCAAAUUAACCCCGUAAGUUCGCGAUAAGGGGGCCCUACCCGUGAGGGAGGGCGCAGAGAAAAGGCUCUGGGAACUGUUUAUCAAAAACACAGCUCUGUGCUAACUCGGAAGAGGAUGUAUACAGAGUGACGCUUGCCCGAUACCGGAAUGUCAAGAAAGUGGGUCAGCGAAAGCGAAGCUCGCGAUUUAAGCACCGGUGAAUGGCGGCCGUAACUAUGACGGUCCUAAGGUAGCGAAGUUCCUUGUCGGGUAAGUUCCGACGCGCAUGAAUAGCGUAAUCACUGGAGCACUGUCUCCACGACCGACUCGGUGAAAUAGAAGUGGCGGUGAAGAUGCCGCCUCCCCGCAGCAAGACGGAAAGACCCCGUGGACCUUCACUGCAGGUUUUUAUUGGUCACGAGCAUACUCUGCGUAGCAUAGGUGGGAGCCUUUGACCUCCAGGUUUCGGCUUGGAGCAGGCAACAAGUGAAAUACCACCCUGAGCACGUUUGUGGCCUAACCAUGAUACCCUUGAAUCAGGGCGUGGGACAGUGGAAGCUGGGCAGUUUGACUGGGGCGGUCUCCUCCAAAAAAGUAACGGAGGAGUGCAAAGGUCGGCUCAGCACGGAUGGAAACCGUGCCAAGAGUGCAAGGGCACAAGCCGGCUUUACAGCGAGUUCGACGGAACAAGCUGUCACGAAAGUGGGCCCUAGUGAUCCUGCGAUCCCGUGUGGAAGGGUCGUAGCUCAACGGAUAAAAGGUACCCCGGGGAUAACAGGCUGAUCGCGCCCGAGCGUCCAUAGCGGCGGCGCGGUUUGGCACCUCGAUGUCGGCCCAUCACAUCCUGGGACUGAAGGCGGCCCCAAGGGUUCGGCUGUUCGCCGAUUAAAGUGGUACGCGAGCUGGGUUCAGACCGGCGUGAGCCAGGUCGGUCCCUAUCUGUUGUGGGUGUUGCAAGCUUGAGAGGAGUCAACUUUAGUACGAGAGGAUUGGGUUGGACGUACCCCUGGUGAUCCAGCUGGACUGCUAAGUCCAUCGCUGGGUAGCUACGUACGGCAGGGAUAACCGCUGAAAGCAUCUAAGCGGGAAGCCCCCCUCAAGAUUAGAUCUCACUUGUUGUGCUUGCACAACACUAAAGGUUCGUUGGAGACUACAACGUUGAUAGGCAAGGUGUGGAAGUGCAGUAAUGCAUGCAGCUAACUUGUACUAAUUAACCGUGAGGCUUUCCAUA